UUGAGUUCAUGUGUUUGUAGUUCUCCUGGUGAUUCUCCAGUCCAUUGUGUUUUAGUUGGAAUAACAGACUAUUUCAGUUUACUGUGUGCUUCUCUACAGCCACAUACUGUUACAGCUAUGGGUCACUGUGACGUAUAGCAUCACCAUUUCCAGGAGACCAGCCGGCUGGAUUAGAUGGGCCUCAACAAUGAGAACGAUGGCAGCAAAGCACCAGAGAAACAUCAGAAGCUCUGCAGCAUCCGAACACAAGCGCUGCUGCUGCUGCUGUCAUUACCGAGCCGAGCCGAACCGAACCGAACAGAGCCGAGGCAGAACACACUCACACAAACACACGGCCAGAGCUGCAUUCAUCGGAACCAGACGAAAUGAGCUGCUUUUGGAUACACUCGAUCCUCAUCCCGGGAUUCUUCGUACUCUUCGGAUUUGAAGAAGGACUGUCCGAGAGCGGCUGCAGUCAGAGGUUCUCCAUGUGAUCCCUGAGGACCUGCCUCCUGCCGCUGCCAGAAUCUAAUUCAAGGCUUGAUCCGUGAACCAGUGCCAACUUGUCCUUCCUUCACAACAUAGUCACUCUCCAAAACCCUCACCCUCUCCGCUGGUGGAACGAGACGUCUGAUCUGCUGAUCAUCAUGACUCAAAAUCCCUUAAAAACUCAAAUUCCUCUUCUUUGCAUUUAAUCUCUGCUCUAGCUUGUUUCGUAAUCUACCUUUCAAAUAAACCU